rnacentral:rRNA from 1 species
GUCUACAGCCAUGCUACCCUGAACAUGCCCGAUCCCGUCUGAUCUCGGAAGCUAAGCAGGGUCAGGCCUGGUUAGUACUUGGAUGGAAGACCACCUAGGAAGAUCAGGUGCUGUAGGCG